GCGAUAAGGGCAAACCGCGCGAAAGCUCGGGACGCAAAGCUACGGACCUAAAGCACUCCGCUAUGGUCGCCGAGCCGCCGA
rnacentral:ncRNA from 1 species